rnacentral:rRNA from 1 species
GUGGGGAAUAUUGGACAAUGGGCGAAAGCCUGAUCCAGCCAUGCCGCGUGUGUGAAGAAGGUCUUCGGAUUGUAAAGCACUUUAAGUUGGGAGGAAGGGCAGUAAGUUAAUACCUUGCUGUUUUGACGUUACCGACAGAAUAAGCACCGGCUAACUUCGUGCCAGCAGCCGCGGUAAUACGAAGGGUGCAAGCGUUAAUCGGAAUUACUGGGCGUAAAGCGCGCGUAGGUGGUUUUGUAAGUUGGAGGUGAAAUCCCCGGGCCCAACCUGGGAACUGCCUCCAAAACUGCAUGACUAGAGUACGGUAGAGGGUAGUGGAAUUUCCUGUGUAGCGGUGAAAUGCGUAGAUAUAGGAAGGAACACCAGUGGCGAAGGCGACUACCUGGACUGAUACUGACACUGAGGUGCGAAAGCGUGGGGAGCAAACAGGAUUAGAUACCCUUGUAGUCC